ensembl:lncRNA
AUUUGAACUCAGUAGUCGUUUUCUUUACUCGCAGGUCUGUCGUUAGACGAUCUUCCCUGUAUAAUCCGACAUGUUGUCUGUGAUAGUAUUCGGCCAAGGUUUUACUGGGAUCUCGUCUAACCAGAAUUAAUCUUCGAAAAGAUACGGAUUAUGUCAAACCAGCAAAGGAGUACUACUACUACUACUACUACUAAAACUCGCUCACGUGUACUGUAAAGAUCUUUAUAACUCUCUGAAAGGGCACGGCAUGGUGUCACCCCUUCUCCUCGCUCACCUCUCACCUACAUCGGAUCCUGAACCGAAGCUGCCUGGUGACAUAUUGGCCCCAUUAGUGGUGUGUAGAAAAGCGCUACAGUGUAAUGCUAACCUUUCCCCUAGAUCAUGCUUUAGCACGAGUAGAUAAGCUGUGCAAAUCCUUACAAUCUAGCAGCGAGGAGCCGACUGAAGGAACACAGCUAUAUCAUACUCGGCUUAUCACUUGCACCGGCUCCGGGCUGCGUUCGAAAAGACUCCCUAUUGGAGGACGGAUCCGUCAAAGAGUCGAGCGUGCGGUGAAGCCGCUCGGCGAGAGUCGCACGUGGGACGCGUGCUGUUCAGACCCGAGACUGACGUGGCACUUUGGCGAAGUCCUCGACCAAUCGCGGUUAGGUGCAGUUCCUGCUUCGAUCCUGAGCUCGGGCGAUUAUCCACAUAUUCUCAUCGGGUUUCUUUUGGGUUUCUCACUCCCAGUGUUCCCGGGAUAGGCUUUGAAUCGACUGAGCAGGAUAAAGCGCUUGUCGAGGAUGAAUAAAUCCAUGCUUUCUUCCUUCCUGCUCUGUGAAAGAUUAGACAAAAAUCAGGGGUUCGGUCGGGAUGUCGGAGGUUCGCGAGCUCCAACAAUGUUGAAACACUGUCAUUUUCGGUAACAUUUCCAUCCCGCUUCCGUCGGGGUCACGGUGGACCCCGGGCAAUGCGUACACUCCUUCACACCUAGAGUCCACCAGUCCACCUACAGUAUGUUUCUGGGAUGGUAGAGGAAACCAGAGAACCCAAAGAAAACCCAGACAGACACGGGGAGAACCUGAGAAGUGAUCCAUCCUCAGGUCGGUCGUAAUAUCUUCACUGAAUGUCUAACUGACCAGCGCGAACCCUUCAGCUGUGACAGGCAGGAUGAUGUGAUGGAACACAGACUGGGAUCUGACCUCAUACUGAGCAUGUGCAUUAGACAGGAGAUAAAAACAAGAUAUGACAGUAGAUGUGUGUGUGUGUGUGUAGAUGAGAGACAGAGAGAGACAAGUGAGUGAGUGAGAGAGAGAGAGUGAG